rnacentral:rRNA from 1 species
UGCUUUACACAUGCAAGUCGAACGGCAGCAUAGAGAGCUUGCUCUCUGAUGGCGAGUGGCGAACGGGUGAGUAAUAUAUCGGAACGUGCCUAGUAAUGGGGAAUAACUAAUCGAAAGAUUAGCUAAUACCGCAUACGACCUACGGGUGAAAGCAGGGGAUCUUUGGACCUUGCGUUAUUAGAGCGGCCGAUAUCUGAUUAGCUAGUUGGUAGGGUAAAUGCCUACCAAGGCAACGAUCAGUAGCUGGUCUGAGAGGACGAUCAGCCACACUGGAACUGAGACACGGUCCAGACUCCUACGGGAGGCAGCAGUGGGGAAUUUUGGACAAUGGGGGCAACCCUGAUCCAGCCAUUCCGCGUGAGUGAAGAAGGCCUUCGGGUUGUAAAGCUCUUUCGCAAGAGAAGAAAACUUGCUAUCUAAUAAGUAGUAAGUAUGACGGUAUCUUGAUAAGAAGCACCGGCUAACUAUGUGCCAGCAGCCGCGGUAAUACAUAGGGUGCGAGCGUUAAUCGGAAUUACUGGGCGUAAAGCGUUCGCAGGCGGCUUUAUAAGUCAGAUGUGAAAUCCCCGAGCUCAACUUGGGAACUGCGUUUGAAACUGUAAAGCUAGAGUGUGUCAGAGGGGGGUAGAAUUCCAUGUGUAGCAGUGAAAUGCGUAGAUAUGUGGAGGAAUACCAAUGGCGAAGGCAGCCCCCUGGGAUAACACUGACGCUCAUGAACGAAAGCGUGGGGAGCAAACAGGAUUAGAUACCCUGGUAGUCCACGCCCUAAACGAUGUCUACUAGUUGUUGGUGGAGUAAAAUCCAUGAGUAACGCAGCUAACGCGUGAAGUAGACCGCCUGGGGAGUACGGU